GGUGGGUUGUGGCUCAGAGGUAGAGCAUGCGCCUAGCAUGUGUGAGGCACUGGGUUCAAUCCUCAGCACCCACCA
rnacentral:tRNA from 1 species